ACUUUCUGAAUUCUCUGUACUUCUCAUAAGCUUCAUGUUUUUCCUCUCUCCCUGCUUGUCCAUUCCAUGUUUUUGAUGAUAGAGCUCCCUCUUGUGUGCCAUACCUCAUAUGAACAGUUCAAAGUGCUAAUGCAGUGCUACAGAAGGUGAGCCUCCCCAGUUCUUCUCUCACUGUGACUACCCUCAGUGGAACAGCUCUGUGAGUCAGAGCCGAAACUCAAAACAGAGCACCACGCCUCCAUAUGAAGUGUGACCGUUAUGGAGAGAGAAGGAUAUUGCACAAUCAUUCCUCAUUCUAAAGAUGGAAAUUAUUAUGGAUCUGGAUCAGACCAGAGACUGUGGGUUGCUCUCUUCCUCUUCACGGAAAUCUUCAUGCUUCCAUAUUUGCAGUUAUUUUUCCCAAUCCAUUAUUUUGUCCUCUAUUCUCCUCCUCAAGUUCUCUUUAUGCCAGUUCCUAUUUAUCCUGUCAAAAAUGGUGAAGAGAACCAUCUUCCAGAGGGACUCAGAACAGCAGAUGAUCUGCAUGGCCAGAGUGAGACACACAGCCUAGUGUCUUCUGUCAACUUUCCUUUAUCAUCGACACCGUUGACUCUGAGCUGUGCAUAAACUGAGAUGACCUGCUUUCAUAUUAAAAUAAAUAAAUGUGUUUUUCCGGCAAAGCCUGGUGAACAAGGUCUCCUGCAGGCAGAGAGUGGACAAGAACCUGCUGUUCCUCAACAUCAAGGUAAGACAGGCCCAGCUACUCAACGACUCACUGGAUGAGGUAAGACCUAACACACCAAGCCUGGGUGGCCCAAGCGUUGGGUAUGGUCGAGACAUUGUUGAGACGCUGUCCUCUGUAAAAAAAAUCCCACUCAGUAUGCUCUUCUUUAUGAAGUUGUCUGGUCCCAUGAACACUAUAAUUGUCUGACAGCUUAUUCAGCACUCUGCCUUCUAAUGGUGAUACAUAACACUAAAGCACAGAGCCAUUAGUGGCUCUCCAUUCCUUCCCCCCCUAAUGCCCAUCUGGUCUUUUGCUCUAGAAAGUAUUCUGUCACCAUGGCUUGAUUUGAAAAACCUGCCUGGAUGUAAAACGUGUCACCCCUCCUCCCCCUCCUCUCCAACCCUCUGUCGCCCUGUCCAGCUGAGCAGGAAGAACGUGGACCUAAAGAAAAAGCUCAAGGUGACCUUCCUAGGAGCGACAGGGCUCGACAUGGAAGGCCUCACCAAGGAGUGGUUCCUGCUGCUGCUUCAGUAGAUUAUUCACACUGACUAUGGCAUGUUCACCUACUUGAGGGAUUCCUGUUGUCAUUGGUUCAGCAGCUGGAAGUGUGACAACUACUCUUGAGUUUCAAUUGGUCGGGACUCUCAUGGGUCUCGCUGUGUACAACAGCAUUUGCCUGGACAUCUAGUUCCCUCCAUACUGCUACAACAAGCUCUUGACUCCACACAUCGUGCCAAGUGACCAGAAUACUCCUGCCAGCAUGGCAACCACUACGCUGGGCGACCUGCAUCAGGUUAUUCCAGUUCGUCUUCUACGAUUGCUUCAUCUCAAGCACAGCAUUUAGAGUAAUACACUUUCUCUGAGGAUAGGCAUCCUCAUUAGAAUAGGUAAAUUAGCCUGCAGACCAGUGUGGGUUUUAGGGGGUUAAAGUGAGGAUCACAAUACCCCAGUUAACCUGCACGGGGACCAACCAUUCAGCUUUCUGUCUUUACUCCCAAACGUUUUCCUCUGGACUGGAUCCAACCUCCUCUGAAUAAAUUAACAUUUUCAUUCAA